AUGAGGAGAGAAGCCUGGCUCGAGGGGAGAGGCCACUCGUCAGAUACGGCCAGAGAAACUAAGUCCUGGGAGAGACUAUGGAAAGUGGAUGUCCCAUCCAAAGUUAAAAUCUUCCUAUGGCGGCUAGCACAACAGUCUAUUCCCACAGCAGAUGUUCUACACCACCGGGACACGUCAACCACUACGAGGUGUGGUCUGUGCGGCUCUGAAGACUCAUGGCAACACUCUUUGCUCCACUGCACAGUAGCUCGAUGUGUUUGGGCGUUGCAAGAUCAUGACCUGGUUGAAGCUUUAAACAGCACCCGUGAACCGGAUGCACGACGUUGGCUAUUCUCCCUUUUGGAUACACUUUCUUCUGCUGAAUUCACCCAGGUAGCAGUUACCAUGUGGGCUCUCUGGUAUGCUCGUCGGCAGGCACUCCAUGAAAAUAUCUUCCAAAGUCCCCUGACCACGCAUAAUUUUAUCAUGAGAUACAUCAGAGAGUUGGAGGAUUGUAAACCCAAGAAGAUUGUACCGCAUUCAGCCCCAAGUGCUGAAGAGACAAGGCAAAAGUGGAUCCCUCCACCGCCGGGGCUCUCGAAGAUCAGAGUGGAUGGUGCGGUCUCGAGAGAUAACCUGCAUGGCUCGUUCAACGCCAUUUGCAGAGACUCCUCUGGUCAGUUCUUGGGCGCAUCAGCAAUUAAAAUACAUGGGAUCACGGAGCCUACAACUCUCGAAGCGCUAGCUUGCCAGGAGGCGCUAGCAUUAGCUUCAGACUUGGCUUUGACCGAUUUCAUUGUUGCUACUACUGUCAGGGUGUUGUAA
rnacentral:rRNA from 1 species